CUCAUACAUACAGUCACCCCCAUACAUAUACAGUCACCCUCUGACACACAGAACCACACACAACUCACAGCUGUGCCACAAUCACUACACACACAUCAAUACCACAAGCAGCCCCUCAAGGGGUGAGUGGGUUGUCAAAUGCCCAUGACCUUUAAGUUUUAAUUUGAAGACGAAAGUAGAAGAAAGUGUUCCUGCACAUCCAGUCUGUG